rnacentral:rRNA from 1 species
UACGUAGGGGGCAAGCGUUGUCCGGAUUUAUUGGGCGUAAAGGGCGCGUAGGCGGUUUCUUAAGUUUGAAGUGACAGUGGGUGGCUUAACUACCCAAGGCCUCUGAAAACUGGGGAACUUGAGGACCAGAGAGGGACAUAGAAUUCCGGGUGGAGUGGUGAAAUGCGUAGAUAUCCGGAGGAAUACCAAAGGCGAAGGCAGUGUCCUGGAGGGUGACUGACGCUGAGGCGCGAAAGCUAGGGGAGCGAACAGG